UACGUAGGGGGCGAGCGUUGUCCGGAUUUAUUGGGCGUAAAGAGCUCGUAGGCGGUUGGGUAAGUCGGGUGUGAAAACUCAGGGCUCAACUCUGAGACGCCACUCGAUACUGCUCUGACUCGAGUCCGGUAGGGGAGCGUGGAAUUCCCGGUGUAGCGGUGAAAUGCGCAGAUAUCGGGAGGAACACCAGUGGCGAAGGCGGCGCUCUGGGCCGGAACUGACGCUGAGGAGCGAAAGCGUGGGGAGCGAACAGG
rnacentral:rRNA from 1 species